CGAAAAGGUCCGUGUUAACACCACGGAUCCAUGACGGUACCCGCAGAAGAAGCACCGGCUAACUACGUGCCAGCAGCCGCGGUAAUACGUAGGGUGCGGGCGUUAAUCGGAAUUACUGGGCGUAAAGCGUGCGCAGGCGGUCUUUUAAGUCAGAUGUGAAAUCCCCGGGCUUAACCUGGGAACUGCGUUUGAAACUGGAAGGCUAGAGUGUGGCAGAGGGGGGUGGAAUUCCACGUGUAGCAGUGAAAUGCGUAGAGAUGUGGAGGAACACCGAUGGCGAAGGCAGCCCCCUGGGCUAACACUGACGCUCAUGCACGAAAGCGUGGGGAGCAAACAGGAUUAGAUACCCUGGUAGUCCACGCCCUAAACUAUGUCAACUGGUUGUCGGGGAAGCAAUUCCUUGGUAACGAAGCUAACGCGUGAAGUUGACCGCCUGGGGAGUACGGCCGCAAGGUUAAAACUCAAAGGAAUUGACGGGGACCCGCACAAGCGGUGGAUUAUGUGGAUUAAUUCGAUGCAACGCGAAAAACCUUACCUACCCUUGACAUGCCAGGAACCCUCCAGAGAUGGAGGGGUGCCCGAAAGGGAACUUGGACACAGGUGCUGCAUGGCUGUCGUCA
rnacentral:rRNA from 1 species